GCUUCGUUGGUGUAGUUGGUUCAUCACGUUCGCCUAACAGGACUUCACUGUCUUUGUGCGCGAAAGGUCGCCUGUUCGAGUCUGGCACGAAGUA